GGAAUAUUGCACAAUGGGCGCAAGCCUGAUGCAGCGACGCCGCGUGAGGGAUGACGGCCUUCGGGUUGUAAACCUCUUUCAGCAGGGACGAAGCGGAAGUGACGGUACCUGCAGAAGAAGCACCGGCCAACUACGUGCCAGCAGCCGCGGUAAUACGUAGGGUGCGAGCGUUGUCCGGAAUUACUGGGCGUAAAGAGCUCGUAGGUGGUUUGUCGCGUCGUCUGUGAAAUUCCGGGGCUUAACUCCGGGCGUGCAGGCGAUACGGGCAUAACUUGAGUGCUGUAGGGGAGACUGGAAUUCCUGGUGUAGCGGUGAAAUGCGCAGAUAUCAGGAGGAACACCGGUGGCGAAGGCGGGUCUCUGGGCAGUAACUGACGCUGAGGAGCGAAAGCAUGGGGAGCGAACAGGAUUAGAUACCCUGGUAGUCCAUGCCGUAAACGUUGGGCACUAGGUGUGGGGGACAUUCCACGUUUUCCGCGCCGUAGCUAACGCAUUAAGUGCCCCGCCUGGGGAGUACGGCCGCAAGGCUAAAACUCAAAG
rnacentral:rRNA from 1 species